rnacentral:tRNA from 1 species
UGCGGGAAUAGCUCAGUUGGUAGAGCACAACCUUGCCAAGGUUGGGGUCGCGAGUUCGAGCCUCGUUUCCCG